rfam:Roseovarius sp. A-2 DNA, contig: RA2_contig0013.
AUGACCGACAGCAAACUGCCCGACACGCAGGCGGGCGGUGAAAAAGGAUACACUAUCUCGCUUGCCGCCCAUGCCGGCGCGUCGAUGAUCCAUGAAAGCGCCG